CCCUUAGAUGUUCUGGGCCGCACGCGCGCUACACUGAUUCAUGCAACAAGUUUUGUCCUUGGCUGAUAGGCCUGGGUAAUCUUUGAACGUGAAUCGUGAUGGGGAUAGAUGAUUGCAAUUAUUCAUCUUCAACGAGGAAUUCCUAGUAAACGCAAGUCAUCAGCUUGCAUUGAUUACGUCCCUGCCCUUUGUACACACCGCCCGUCGCACCUACCGAUUGAAUGGUCCGGUGAAAUCUUCGGAUCUGAGAGAUGUCUGAUUAAUUUCUGACGCCUUUUGGAAAAGUUGUUUAAACCUUACCAUUUAGAGGAAGGUGAAGUCGUAACA
rnacentral:rRNA from 1 species